rnacentral:rRNA from 1 species
CCUACGGGGGGCAGCAGUGGGGAAUAUUGGACAAUGGGGGGAACCCUGAUCCAGCCAUGCCGCGUGUGUGAAGAAGGCCCUCGGGUUGUAAAGCACUUUCAGUGAGGAAGAACGCCUGGUGGUUAAUACCCAUCAGGAAAGACAUCACUCACAGAAGAAGCACCGGCUAACUCCGUGCCAGCAGCCGCGGUAAUACGGAGGGUGCGAGCGUUAAUCGGAAUUACUGGGCGUAAAGCGCGCGUAGGUGGCCUGAUAAGCCGGUUGUGAAAGCCCCGGGCUCAACCUGGGAACGGCAUCCGGAACUGUCAAGCUAGAGUGCAGGAGAGGAAGGUAGAAUUCCCGGUGUAGCGGUGAAAUGCGUAGAGAUCGGGAGGAAUACCAGUGGCGAAGGCGGCCUUCUGGACUGACACUGACACUGAGGUGCGAAAGCGUGGGUAGCAAACAGGAUUAGAUACCCGGGUAGUC